GCUGUCCUGGUGUAUUUGGUUAGCAUGUCCAGCUAGUAACUUGAAGAUCCGUGGUUAAAAUCUCGGCGACGGCA
rnacentral:tRNA from 1 species